rnacentral:rRNA from 1 species
AGUGAACGCUGGCGGUAGGCCUAACACAUGCAAGUCGAACGGCAGCACAGUAAGAGCUUGCUCUUACGGGUGGCGAGUGGCGGACGGGUGAGGAAUACAUCGGAAUCUACUUUUUCGUGGGGGAUAACGUAGGGAAACUUACGCUAAUACCGCAUACGACCUACGGGUGAAAGCAGGGGAUCUUCGGACCUUGCGCGAUUGAAUGAGCCGAUGUCGGAUUCGCUAGUUGGCGGGGUAAAGGCCCACCAAGGCGACGAUCCGUAGCUGGUCUGAGAGGAUGAUCAGCCACACUGGCACUGAGACACGGUCCAGACUCCUACGGGAGGCAGCAGUGGGGAAUAUUGGACAAUGGGCGCAAGCAUGAUCCAGCCAUACCGCGUGGGUGAAGAAGGCCUUCGGGUUGUAAAGCCCUUUUGUUGGGAAAGAAAAGCAGCAGGUUAAUACCCCGCUGUUCUGACGGUACCCAAAGAAUAAGCACCGGCUAACUUCGUG